ensembl:ncRNA C05E11.15 ncRNA
AACCCCAGUGAGUGAGAACCGGAUAAAUAAAUGCUGUAAAAUAACACUUAUGACUGUCAACAACAGCUAUCAAUGAGAAAUUUAUGAUAAAAACCAACUUGAAAUGACCGUGCAGUAAGUCACAUAGGUUAUGAAUUCGCAUCUUUCAGCAACGGCACCGGAAACAAUAGUAGCGGCAGUUGCAGAGAAUACGUAUUGGAAGAAGAAUCGGGGAUAAUCCG